rnacentral:tRNA from 3 species
AGGGGCUUAGUUUAACGGUAGAACAGAGGUCUCCAAAACCUUCAGUGUGGGUUCGAUUCCUACAGCCCCUG